AUGUAGUGUGACAUGCCUGUUGUGUUUUACUCUGAUGUUGGGGAAUUAAUUGUUAUUAUUUAAUUACUUUUGGGUAACAGGGUGUUACAACCUG
rnacentral:pre_miRNA from 1 species